UACCAUACAAAUUAAUUGAAGUUGACAUUCAUUAUAAUUGGACUCACAAUCAGUAUAAUUGUUAACAAGAGUCAAUAAUACAAACAUAUAGGAUUGACAUUCGAAAUGGAAAAAUGCUGGCAUAAAAUUUCAAGAAAUUUCAAGCUUUUAGGAAAAAAUAAAGUGUGAGAAUAAAAUAUAAUAAGGACAGCGAAAAAAAAGAAAGAGAGCGAGAACGAAAAUGAAAAAAUUCGCGUGAAAAAUAUCCUUGUCAACGCGAAAAAAGGACACUAGUUAUAAAUUGCAUGAAACAAAGUCUACAUCCUGUAGUGAACGGAAUUUUUCUUUUGACAGUGAUAGUUUGGCUGAUUGCAUCCGCCCAAUGAUAUAUUUUGUUUCAAUGUUGUUGACAGGAAAUUCACAUCUAAGAUAAACAUUUGACUAUUAAUUUUUGGAUGGGACGAGUUUCAUUAAAAUGCGUCAAAGCAAUGCACUUUAUUGUUCAUAAUAUUUAAACAUGGAAAUUGUUAGAAAGUAAAGUUAAAUGAAUCGAAGGUAAAUGCACACGUUUUACAUAAAUCAAUUUACUUGUUGCUUCAUAAUGCGUAAUAAUUUUCUAUAUCUAAUAAAAAUC